UUAAAUCAAAUUUGUAUACAUUUUGAACGUUUGCCUACGUUUGCCGCUAGGGGCGCUGUUCCAACUGCAUACAAAUUUGAAUUA
rfam:Bombyx mori DNA, contig: Bm_scaf48_contig25765, strain: p50T/Dazao, build 2, whole genome shotgun sequence.